rnacentral:misc_RNA from 1 species
UUGCCUAAGCUAGGAUAUGACAGGAUAUUCGUGAGGAGACCAGUAACUGCCAUGACACAAAGAUAAUAUGCCACUAGAGAAGCUCACAGAAGAAGGAAAGCAAUUCAAAAGAUCCCAGAACUAUUUGACUAAAACAAGGAAACAAAGAAAAGUCAGUCCCUUUUGGGUAGCUGGCCCCACCACCCUAGCACCUAGCAGUGGGUGGUGAAGAAGGAAGAGAUGCACUUCAUCCAGGAGAAUUCAGAUUUACCAAAAUGAUAGAUAUAGACAGCCACAGUUAUAACAAUGACAAGGCUUAAGCUUCACAAGGCCUGCUUCUAACAAAAAUGGGUAUCAAACACCAUGGAAAAACUAAAUUAAACCUAAACAUGAAGAAUAUGACACAAUUUUUUGCUAUGAGAUGAUUGAUCAUUAAAAAGUCCCAUAGAUACUGACUGAAAACGAGCAAAAAAAAUCUCGAGGAUGCUUCAUGUUCAAAAUUAUGCCUCAAUAUGA